rnacentral:rRNA from 1 species
CCUACGGGCGGCACCAGUGGGGGAUAUUGCACAAUGGGCGCAAGCCUGAUGCAGCCAUGCCGCGUGUGUGAAGAAGGCCUUCGGGUUGUAAAGCACUUUCAGCGGGGAGGAAGGCGGUGAGGUUAAUAACCUCACCGAUUGACGUUACCCGCAGAAGAAGCACCGGCUAACUCCGUGCCAGCAGCCGCGGUAAUACGGAGGGUGCAAGCGUUAAUCGGAAUUACUGGGCGUAAAGCGCACGCAGGCGGUCUGUCAAGUCGGAUGUGAAAUCCCCGGGCUCAACCUGGGAACUGCAUUCGAAACUGGCAGGCUAGAGUCUUGUAGAGGGGGGUAGAAUUCCAGGUGUAGCGGUGAAAUGCGUAGAGAUCUGGAGGAAUACCAGUGGCGAAGGCGGCUUACUGGUCUGCAACUGACGCUGAGGCGCGAAAGCGUGGGGAGCAAACAGGAUUAGAUACCCCGGUAGUC